GCCAGCAUGGCGUAGUGGUUUGAGUGUUGGACUACGACUCUGGAGACCAGGGAACGAUUCCCGGCACAGCCA